rnacentral:lncRNA from 1 species
CUAAAAUUUGGGAGCCAUUGAAAUACUCUCUAAAGUGAUGAUGUAUGAAGCAGUGGUUCUCAACGUAUGAUCCUGGGGCCAGCAGCAUCAGGAUCACCUGGAAACUUUCAGAAAUGUAAAUUCUUGGCCCUCCCACUCCCAGGCCUGAAUAAGAAUCUCCAGAACAAUGGCCCAGCUAUCGGUGUAUUAACAAGUUUUGCAGGUGUUUCUCAUGCUGCUAAAGUUUCAAAAUCACUGGUUUAAACAACCCCCUUAAUUCAAUAAACAUGUGUUGACACUCUGUGAACAUUCGGUUCUAGGAACUUUGGAGAGCCUGAAGAAGUCACAGUUCUCAAAGAUUGGUCAGUGAUACUUCAUUUGCAGUCCUGAUUUUGGUUCUGGAGUGAUCAAGAGAAUGUCAAGUUUCCGCAGGUUUUCUCAUAUGGAACAGUUUUUUAUUCAACACUCUACUGUAAUAUAAUGCAGAAAGGAGUCACUGGCAAAAUUCCUUUGAUGUGCAUUGUAUACAGCUCAUCUUUGGAUACCACUCCAAGCACUAUCCAUAACAAUCUUAUAAAAUUCCAAAAUGAUCCUCCCUGUACCGAUUCUCAUUCUGCCUGGAACUUAGCCAACACUUAUCUAUUUGGAUUGCCUCGGAUUCCAUAUUUUCAAGGCUCCUUGGUAGAGGCAUCUCAUCAGUCACUUCUACUUAGUAUGUCUCAUCCAUUAGUCCAUGAGAGUGCAAAUGUAGCUAUAUUCUAGGUUCUUGCAUCGCAAUCCUGAUAACUCUGUUGCUAUAGCUUCCUUAAAAUUUCAUUUUUAAACCACUCACUACAGAUUUCCUCACCUUUUGGUGCCACUUCCUGAGAGGACAUUGGGUUGGGUAGUGCCCAUUGCUUCAUAUGUUUUUUUAAAAAGUGUUCCUUUUAAACAAAGGCCAUGAUGCCCUUGCAUAGUCUCUUAUAAUAAGAUGUCUAUGUAUAAUUUUUAGAUGUGGAGUUGAUCUUACAAAUAAAAUGUGUUGUGCCUUCUUGAUGACUGGG